UGAGUAACCUGCCCUUAACUCUGGGAUAAGCCUGGGAAACUGGGUCUAAUACCGGAUAUGACUCCUCAUCGCAUGGUGGGGGGUGGAAAGCUUUUUUGUGGUUUUGGAUGGACUCGCGGCCUAUCAGCUUGUUGGUGAGGUAAUGGCUCACCAAGGCGACGACGGGUAGCCGGCCUGAGAGGGUGACCGGCCACACUGGGACUGAGACACGGCCAGACUCCUACGGGAGGCAG
rnacentral:rRNA from 1 species